rnacentral:rRNA from 1 species
AUUGAACGCUGGCGGCAGGCCUAACACAUGCAAGUCGAGCGGAUGAAGGGAGCUUGCUCCUGGAUUCAGCGGCGGACGGGUGAGUAAUGCCUAGGAAUCUGCCUGGUAGUGGGGGAUAACGUCCGGAAACGGGCGCUAAUACCGCAUACGUCCUGAGGGAGAAAGUGGGGGAUCUUCGGACCUCACGCUAUCAGAUGAGCCUAGGUCGGAUUAGCUAGUUGGUGGGGUAAAGGCCUACCAAGGCGACGAUCCGUAACUGGUCUGAGAGGAUGAUCAGUCACACUGGGACUGAGACACGGUCCAGACUCCUACGGGAGGCAGCAGUGGGGAAUAUUGGACGAUGGGCGAAAGCCUGAUCCAGCCAUGCCGCGUGUGUGAAGAAGGUCUUCGGAUUGUAAAGCACUUUAAGUUGGGAGGAAGGGCAGUAAGUCAAUACCUUGCUGUUUUGACGUUACCAACAGAAUAAGCACCGGCUAACUUCGUG